rnacentral:rRNA from 1 species
UACGGAGGAUGCGAGCGUUAUCCGGAUUUAUUGGGUUUAAAGGGUGCGUAGGCGGCUUUUUAAGUCAGCGGUGAAAUUUUGCAGCUUAACUGUAACAGUGCCGUUGAUACUGGGGAGCUAGGAUUUGGUUGCUGUGGGUGGAAUGUGUGGUGUAGCGGUGAAAUGCUUAGAGAUCACACAGAAUAUCGAUUGCGAAGGCAGCUCACAAAGCCAAGAUUGACACUGAGGCACGAAAGUGUGGGGAUCAAACAGGAUUA